CAACCACUGACCCCUGACAUAUCAGCAGCAGCACCCCAGCCAGCAUCAUUUCCAGAGCCUCGGGUGUGUCCCAGGACAAAAUGUCAAAGAGGGAAGAGGAUCGCUCUUGCUACAGAAGUGGCUAAUGUAGCCUCAAGCUGCUAGUCUGAGGAGCGGGCUAUAGAGUUCUGAAUAUUAUGUUGUGAGGAGCUGGAGGUCUGAGGUGAGAAUCCCCUUUGAUGGAGUGAAGGUGGAGCUUCCUGCAGCUGUGUGGGCAGCAGAUUUCCGUGGGUUAGCCUUUUGACCUGCAAAGGAGGGAACAUUGUUGCACAACACCUCUCAGAUUAAGAAAACACAGACGUUCUUUGCAUCAAGGGAACACCAUACAUGUUUCCUGAUGUGAAGAAAUAGAUUUCUCGCACGUUAGGAUGCUUUGUGCCUUUUUGCCAGUGUUAAUGUACUGUGGUUGACAAACAUAAUGUGCCACUAGUGCCCCUUUUGUCAGUCCCAAACGGCCAUGACUGUUGCAAAACACAGUCUGAGCUGCAUUCCCUCCCUGAGAGAGACCCAGGAAUACCACCCUCUGUCCCUUGCUUCCUUUUGCCCUCCUUCCCUCCCACCCCACCCCACCACCCUUGUCUGCAGAGUGGCCGGAUCAGCAUCGCUCUCUAACCUCCAUUGCUGGCCUGAGAAACACUGGGCCCGUUGUUGACAUGCUGGCCUCAUACCCCACAGGGGCUGACAAAUUAUUAGCCAGCCUCUCUGUGCAGAGUGAGGACAGCCAGCCAGCGAGUCUGUGCAGCCAGGCAGCAGAAUACUAAAAUGUGCUGCUAGACAUGAGACCAUCUGUCUUGAUAAGCUCUGUGGCAAUGGUGCUGGAGGAAAUGUGGGAGC